rnacentral:rRNA from 1 species
CAGCAGCCACGGGAAUACGAAGGGUGCAAGCGUUAAUCGGAAUUACUGGGCGUAAAGCGUGCGUAGGCGGCUUCUUAAGUCGGAUGUGAAAUCCCUGAGCUUAACUUAGGAAUUGCAUUCGAUACUGGGAAGCUAGAGUAUGGGAGAGGAUGGUAGAAUUCCAGGUGUAGCGGUGAAAUGCGUAGAGAUCUGGAGGAAUACCGAUGGCGAAGGCAGCCAUCUGGCCUAAUACUGACGCUGAGGUACGAAAGCAUGGGGAGCAAACAGGAUUAGAUACCCCUGUAGUCCCUGUCUCUUAUAC